GCAUAGAUAGAUAAUUUGGCGGUUUGUACUGAAUACUACUAAACAUAUUUUCUAUUUUCAUUACUGGAUAGUGCUGGAAUUGCUGAAAUUGAAUAUCGGAACUUGGAAUUACAGAGAAGUGAUAUAGACAUCAUCAUCAGCCCCUCUCGAUCCACUGCUGGACAUAGGCCUCCCAUGUUUGUAGACAAGUAGAAGAGACAAGUAGACUAAUAGAAUAGAAUAACAGGUAUAGUGUAGGUACAUGUAAGUAGGUAGGUUAAUACCUUGGCUACCGUGUGAGAUGCCAGCAUU
rnacentral:lncRNA from 1 species